UGUAUCCCAAGCAGCAAAGAGAAAAAAAAGAAGUUGAACACAGCACCCCAGGCAGGAGGUGAUCAAAGGGAAAAAAAGGGUUGAUCGAGGGUUGAAAGCUAUAGUUCGUCAUUGCUCGGAGGUCGGAGGUCGGAUGGAAGUCGGAGAUCGGAGCUUUCUCCAGGCUGAAGGCAGUAAGUUAAAAGAUGGAUGUAGUGCGCGCUCUCGGUGAACGGUGGAAAGAAAGUCGUGAGCCCUGUUAAAGAUCUUCUGGGGGCCGAGAGGUUCGGAUCUGAUAACCCGCUGUUCUGGUCUGACGUCUGAUAAUUGUUUUAACCUUCCCAUGACGUGAAAGUAGGGGAGAUAAAAGAUAGAAACUUCGGACUACUUUCACUUGACGAUCGCCUAGAGAUGGGUUAGGGGUAUUUAGUAAGGGCGCAGCAGUUGGAGAGGUGAGGAGGCCGCUGUGGCUGCGACGACAGACUUUUGUUCGUCGUUCGUUUCAUUUCUUUCUUUCUCUGUUCCUGCUUUCUGCUCCACUCAUUCUUAUUAGAACAGCCGCUGGUUAGUCACCAUUGACGCAACUAGGAAUUGAUCCCGGGAGUUCGAACACAAGGACGGCGAGCAGCCUCUUUCUCAUUCUCAUUUCCUACUACAAACUACAUAUGCUGGCGACGAGCGAACAGGCUAUCGGUAUUACUAAGGUCAAAGAUACCAGAAGGUGAAAGAACCUAUCUGUAUUGCGGGUUGUAAAGUGUACUAUUAACGACGUGGAUUCAAUACUCAGCAGGUUCUCGGAAUCAUCAUGUAAUAUCAAAUCAAACAGUAAUUAACCACCUUAAAACUGUUGCAGAAUAUACAUAAAAAUUACGCAGAACGUCCUCCCCUCUGUAAUCAUACAUGCAGCGCUGCCCAAG
rnacentral:sRNA from 1 species